AGAAGUGAAAGAGAAUGGAUGAAUACUUCACAAUGGUUAUUUCUUUCUAAUAAUGAAAUAGGAGAGAAUUAAGAUCAGUAAGGAAGUCACACAAGCAACAGGUGUCCAAGUGGUUCUCCACAAGUCAGCUUGCAUUCUGAAUGAGACAAGAAAAAAUGACUCGCAGGGGCAUGUCAUGAACAAGAUGAAAAAUUGUGUUGCUUCACCUUGAGGAAAAAAGGUCAGAUGCCUCUAGCGUGAAUAUUCCAAGAAUGGAGUCAAAAGAACCAGUACUCUUCCAAAAGGAAAAAGAAAGGGGAAAAGUGUGUCCAAAUUCGUUUGACAGAGGACCUACCUCCAGCUCUGACACCUGGAGUGGAAGAGGCUCUACAGCAUUCCCAGCUGAUCCAUUCUAUUGAUCCUUUGUCUUCUGCGUUAGAAAGCAGAAUUCUGUGGAAAAAUAAUUUCCUCACUUGGUUGUCACACUCAGAAGCUCUUAGAAGACAAACAUAUAUUAAAAGCAAGAUGAUAGUUCAUGACUAUAUGCAUGUUUCAGAAGCUUGGAAACCAAGUUAAGGAAUAAUUUUUCCCCAAAAUUCUGCUUUGUUUGCAAGAAAAGAAGAAUUUUAAAUCUCUCCUCUAUAGGGAUGACUUCCAAGAACUUGAAGCACUGGACUGAGAAAAAGAUCCUAGAAAUGAAAAAAUUAUUGAAGGAAAUUCAAUGUUUUCUUUCUGAAGUGAACCUUAUUUACAAGAGCUUGUGGAUGUACCAGACAAUCAUUAUGACCUGAGAUAUCAGAGCCUUCACGGAUGUGAUUAAAAUGGCUAACAUCGUCUCCUAUAGUUACAUAAUUCUACAUCCUGUCGUAUAAUUUGAAACAGACCUCUAUAACCGUAGAUAGCUUUUACUGCAUAAGAAUUCUGUAAAGAAUUGACAAAUCUACUUUUUCACCUUAUCUACCUUCUCCAUGAGAGCCAGUUUCACAUUUUGAAACAAGUGGCUUACUGAAAUAUUUCUACAUCAGUGUUAUUAUAUUUGGCUGCAGAAAGAAGUUAAUAGAAAUAACUUAUUUUGAGACUGUAAUAAUUCUGUCCCUUUGCUAAGAUGAUAACCUGGAGCCAUGUCUGCAUGUUAAGAAUACACAGGGCUUAUUUUAUUGUUCCUAAGUGUUAUGUCUCUGCCUCUCAUGCCUUUUCACAUAUUUAAGUUGCUAAUUUAUUAUCUUUUUGUAUCUUCUAACUAGACCAAGGAAGUGCCAAGAUAAACAGAACUGUGUCUAUGGUGACAAGACUUUAUUAUUUUGUAAAUUUUAUUGCAAUUUUUUGAGUAUUUUUGCAAUGCUUCUUUCUUAACUCACCGAAGCAUUUUUAGUGGUUACUAAAUACUUUGUUAAAUGUAUUUGACAGAAAAUUCAGAGAUAAUCUUGCUAGUAUUUGUGAGCUAAGCAUCUUGGUGCUUAUUUUAUUAUGAAUUUACUUUCAAAAUCUAGAAUGUAUCCUACUACUCACUAGGAAGUUUUCUAGAAUUAAAUACUCCAUACCAAAUAAGAUGACCAAACAAACCACAAUAAAACAUUAUCACUUGGGAGAGUUGGAGAGUUU
ensembl:lncRNA